rnacentral:rRNA from 1 species
UGAGAGGAUGAUCAGCCACACUGGGGACUGAGACACGGCCCAGACUCCUACGGGAGGCAGCAGUGGGGAAUAUUGGACAAUGGGCGCAAGCCUGAUCCAGCCACGCCGCGUGAGUGAUGAAGGCCUUCGGUCGUAAGCUCUGUGGGGAGGGGACGGAACGGGCGCCAUGAAGAGUGGCGAUUGACGGUACCUCCUUAGCAAGCACCGGCUAACUUCGUGCCAGCAGCCGCGGUAAUACGAAGGGUGCAAACGUUGCUCGGAAUCAUUGGGCGUAAAGCGCACGUAGGCGGCUUUCUAAGUCGGAUGUGAAAUCCCUCGGCUUAACCGAGGACGUGCAUCCGAAACUGGGAGGCUUGAGUAUGGAAGAGGGUCGCAGAAUUCCCGGUGUAGAGGUGAAAUU